GUGACAUCAAAAUUGCAGAUUUUUAGCCAAAAUCAACAAAGGGGUGAAAUCAAAUCAUUGAAUUAAUGCAUCUCUAUGAGGAAAAUUCAGCAUCCCCAGCCAGAGCACUUACUGUGCAGCCCUGAGCCCGGAAGCUCCUCCAGUGGCCAUCUAAGGAGUGGCCACUUGGAGGUGUCCCUAGAGCCAAUGCAAACACUGCCUUUUCUCUGAAAAGGCAGUGUUUGUAUAAAAAUGUCUGAAGGGAGCUAUUAUACUCACCAGAACAACUGCGUUAAGCUGUAGUUGUUCUGGUGACUAUAGUGUCCCUUUAAGCACCUUCACCUAUAGAAUAACCUACUGUUGACUUACAAUAGAGUGCCACACACUGUCUCUGCACACACCUAUCAUUCAGAGGCUUCACCGUGUCUUGAGCACAUGUUAUCACUGUGUUGUAUAUGCCUGGUGAACCCCUCCGUUUUGUUGUGCCUAAGUGUGGGGUUUAGCCUGAAUAGUUUAUUUUCACUUUAGCAUGUUUUCCCUCAACACUAAGUUAAAGUUGACUACUCAUGUACUUAGCCUAACUGCCUUUACUUCUAUAAAAAUGGAUACUGUCCAACCCUGACAUGUGCUAAUACCACUACCUUGUAAGCACCUGCUCACAUGUUCCACUCAGCUUGACUGUAUCCUUAAGCCUGAUGUCUAUAUAAGAUUAACAUAACAUUUUGUGCUGUUUCCUCGAAUUGAAGCAUAAUGUUCUCGCUAAAUCUUUACAACUUCAUGCUGUGUUUCAUUAUGUGUUACACACAUUCUUGCGAUUGCUGUUGAGCAAUGUAAUGUAUUUUUAUGCACGACCAAG